rnacentral:tRNA from 1 species
GGCUCGUUGGUCUAGGGGUAUGAUUAUCGCUUAGGGUGCGCGAGGUCCCGGGUUCAAAUCCCGGACGAGCCC